GUCUCCAGUUUGGAGAACUGCAGGUGGUGCAGGAUGACAUAUAUAUCAUGCAGGACUACGUUGACAUGGUGACAUAAUACUACGUUUAACAUGAGUUCUUUCGUGGAUGGAACUUGUAGUUGGGUGGUACGGUCGUGAAGGUGGUCAGCUGCAGUGGUCUGAGUGAUCAGGACAGGGACCGUGUGGGCCUGCCUUGAUAGACAGUUCUUCUGGUACUCUAUUUCAGGAGGUGUUCAGCUUAAUACGAGAUGAUGAGCUGUAUAGCUAUUGAUUUGAAGACAUCGUAGCUACAACUCCCCUCCCCCUCCCCCUACAAUUUCCAGACCAAGAUGGAUAAUUGGGUCGACGACAUUCGCCAGUGGCCUUUUUUAACAGAUCAAGGUAUCCAGGAUUACUUCUUAAAGCGUUUGGCCUGUGAUGAGCAACCUAAUGCUAAUUACCGAUCUCUGAUUGAGGGACAAAACUAUCUAAGAUCUGGAUGGGUUGGUCAAA